ensembl:lncRNA
GUCUAAAUAGCGCUCUACUCAUCCCUGUCCCAUCCGGAGCAUCCAAACACUUAGUCCCCGGGAACUGGCGAACAAACUCAAUAACUGGAUUAUCCACUACACUGCUCAUGGAUUAUGGACUUCCUCACAGACCACAAACCGUCAGACUGGUCAACCACACAUCUUCCACCCUCAUCGUGAACACAAGAGCUCCGCAGGGCUGCGUGCUCAUUCUAGCCCUUUUCACAAUGUAGCCAAUGACUGCAAACCCAUCCACUCCUCUAACACUGUUGGUUUGCUGAUGACGCCACAAUAGUCGAGGAGGAGGUACAACAUCUGGUUGAGUGGUGUUCUGACAAUAACCUGGUCAUUAACACUACAAAAACCAAAAGAGAUCAUUGGGGGUUUCAGAAGGACAUUACAUUACAUUACAUUACAUGUCAUUUAGCAGACGCUUUUAUCCAAAGCGACUUACAUUACACUUUAAACCCAUGGCUUUUUCACAUUUUGCCCGGGGAGCAAUUAGGGGUUAGGUGUCUUGCUCAGGGACACUUCUACAUGGAACAUGGGGCAGCCUGGAAUCUAACCACCAACCUUGUGCUUCCAACCUUGUGGGACCCGUAAGCGGCAUCUGGGCAGUAGCCUCGGAUGGGCUUUUGUAGCAACACAAGGAUCUGGGUAUUAAUCAGAGCAGUCCCAUAAUGUAGGCUAAUAGAAAGCUGAAUAGAUUUUGAAUUUGUCAAUAAUUCGCUGUAAUCAGCCGGAGGAGGUGCAUCAAAACAUCUGUGUUGUUUCCUGUCACUCUGAAAAUCCUUUCCCUAAUGGCCUAAUUUUUACAAUGCGGGGAAAAACAUUUAGGGCUGGAUGUUCCAUUUACAACCACAAAAAGGAAGCAAGCAAAAAAAACAGCUUUUGACAGAAGGCAAGAUUUGCCCCACUGGUAGCACAACGUUGAAACCCAAAAUGCCAGCUGGUCCUUAAAACUGGUCAAACCAUCUCUUACAAUUGCAUGCGAUUCGGUUUCGCUUUGAUGAAUGGCAGUCAAGCGCUGCCCACACCCACUUCUCUCCUCAGAUGCUGCCUUAUGCGCAGCUCCCAGUCAUUGCUGCCCUGUCUAAUAACUCUUCCCAUGUUUAAGCAAAGCGUGUGCCUAAUAGACUGCUCUCAAAUCACACAUCGGGGACGCCAGAGUGAGCUGAAUGUCACAGCGCAUUUAUCUCCUUUUUGCCCCCCGACCAACCCAUCUAAGCUGGGCCCAUUAUUUAACCUAAGAGAGGUCAAAUUCUCCCUGUGAGGCUUGAACAGAGCAUGCAUUCAGUGAAAUAGUCUUUCCAUCCAUUAAAGCAGCUCUUUGAGCACUACCGGCCUGCAUUACUUUAUGGGUGUCGCACUCCGAUUGGGCUGACGACGGAUGUGCCUGAAAGCAUGCGACUCCCUCACCUGCUGGAGGAGUGGGUUGAAGGGCAAGAGGAGGAUAGGGGGCCUGGAAUAGUGCUGGGUCAGCACAUGGCAUGCUAUGAGGGGAGUAAUGAGCCUGAGAGAGACAUCUUCCCCUUUUGUACCUCGGCACUCUAUGCCUCAUAAUAGGUUUGAUGGAGCUCAUGCGCGUCUGGUAAAACUUAGGCCUUCUCUCUCUCACUUUAAAUUUAAAACAACCCUUUUUCUUACCGUCUCAUUUGUAAACACGUUUUUUGGUAUUUGGUUGACAAUAUUGUACAUAAAUCAUGUGAUUGUAUUAGCUGAACAAACCGAGUUAGAUCUUUUGUAAAGUCUUCCUUUGCCAAUUUGUAAUUUAUAAUUUGGGGCAAUACAAAAUCAAUUUGUUUGAAUUUGACCACUGCGGUGCAUUAACAGCAGCAGUUAAACAAUAGAUUCAAUAUUUUAACUCAAAACAGCCGUGUUUUGAAAAAG